AUCAUACAUCAGAUAUCGAAAAAAAGUACACAUUACUAUAGUGUGUAUCAUAAAUUAUUUUACAAUCGUACCUAUCAUAAUAAUCGAGUAGACAAAAUUUGAAUUAGAAAAUGGGUAUAGAAAAUGAAUAUUCCAAUGAAAAUUGCUACGAAAGAUCGAAGAAAAAUUGCGUUAAUUUAUUGUUGCUGUUGCUAAUAGUAUUAUUCUUCUCAAUUUUCACGUUAAAUCUUUUUCUGGAUUGAUUUAUGAAAUUUGUGGUUUCCUAGAUUCCAUCCACCGUUAACUUUUUUGAUCAUCCUGUUAACAAAAGAGAAAGAACAAAAAAAGGCGAGUCCCGAGAUGUUACGAACGUUUCUUUUUUAAUUCGAAAUAGUAAUAGUAGUGGUAGUAGUAUAGUAAUUAUAUUUAAACAUAAGUAAAAAACAUCGAAUGGAAAUCCAUGUUAAAAAACGAAAUGUUAUGCAUUCCGGAUCGGCCUUGAACGAUCAUCACACCCGGAAUUCAUUCGCGACGAAUGAACUUGAAACUAUCAUCGAAAGUAGAAUGAUCGAGUGAAGCUAUGACUUCAGCAGUAUCCUCGACCGGAAGUGGAGCUUGUGGAAGAUUAGUAGCGACAACACGAAAACCAUCAUUAUCCGCAACGUAUUCCGUACUUUGAAUCAUUCCAUUAUCAUCUAUGUAACUGUAUGCACCACGUAUUGCACCGUCUACAGUUUUGACCUCUGACCUGGCCGAAUUAAGGGUACUAUAACCAAAACUAUAUUGACCUAAACUAUCCUGAUAACCAAGAAGUAUAUUAUUCGUUGGUUGGCCUGAACUUUUACUAACAAACAGAUAACACAAUAAACACGACAACUGAAACAAAAA
rnacentral:lncRNA from 1 species